rnacentral:rRNA from 1 species
CCUACGGGGAGCAGCAGUGGGGAAUAUUGGACAAUGGGGGGAACCCUGAUCCAGCCAUGCCGCGUGUGUGAAGAAGGCCCUCGGGUUGUAAAGCACUUUCAGUGAGGAAGAACGCCUGGUGGUUAAUACCCAUCAGGAAAGACAUCACUCACAGAAGAAGCACCGGCUAACUCCGUGCCAGCAGCCGCGGUAAUACGGAGGGUGCGAGCGUUAAUCGGAAUUACUGGGCGUAAAGCGCGCGUAGGUGGCUUGAUAAGCCGGUUGUGAAAGCCCCGGGCUCAACCUGGGAACGGCAUCCGGAACUGUCAAGCUAGAGUGCAGGAGAGGAAGGUAGAAUUCCCGGUGUAGCGGUGAAAUGCGUAGAGAUCGGGAGGAAUACCAGUGGCGAAGGCGGCCUUCUGGACUGACACUGACACUGAGGUGCGAAAGCGUGGGUAGCAAACAGGAUUAGAUACCCGUGUAGUC